AUUGCCCUGCUGUGUACGUGCGAGGCCGGCAAUGUGAUUGAGCCAACACCAUCACAUCGGGAGCCCCGGCUCCGCGCGCGGCAUGCAGGCCCCUUGGCGCCGGCUCCGGCUGGUGCCCGCGGGGGACGCGUAAAACGCGCGGGAGGGCACCCACCUGCGACUUGGCAGGUUCAAGACACCCGGUUUGGACGGCACAGUGGGGUUUUU
rnacentral:other from 1 species